AAAAAUAUGAUCAAAAUAAUAUAUCUAAUGUUUUUUAUAAAAAAUAAUGGUUAGUUAAAUGAUAUGUUAGUAGGAAUUAAGAUUUUAGCUAAUAUGUUUUACAUAAGUGACGUGUAUGACAAAGGGCUCCAGGAAUAUAUAGAAAAUGGUAAUACUAAAAUACCAAAAAGAGUUGAUUUGACGGUCACUGUCCUGAGCACAUGUUAUUGGCCUAGUUAUAGAAUACCAAAAGGGGUUGAAUUAGAAUGUAAGCUUGAAAAGCCAAGCAUUGCAAUUAGUUUCUUUGGUCAUUGAUCAGCUGAAGAAGGAGCUUCCAAAUGAAAAGACAAGACUAGUUCUGGAGAAGAUUCUGGAAAGCAUUUCAGCUGGGUUUGAAAACAAAUCCUCUUGUGACCAAAAAGUUCUGUUUGACUUGAGAUAUUUCCUUCUUCGUGAUGAAGACAUUGGAAACGAGAGCAUGGCAGCUGAGUUUGCUCUGGAUCUGUUGCUUAAAAGGCUGAAAAGUAAAUGGGAAGAGCUUAACCAAGAGGAGUGGCUAGCCCCAUUUAUAUGACUGAUUAUUGGUUGCUCGAGAAACCAACGGCUUGUAUAUUCAGCUUAGUGUUUUGCUUUUGUUGAUCAUCUUCCAUUGCAUUCCCUCACCCCUGAAGGAAAUAAAUACGAAUGAGAUACAUUGCUAACAUAAAUGUUAAGCAUUGCAAAAUCUAGAAGCAAUAUCCCCCUUGCUGUUUCGUUGUCAUUCUUUCAAUUUUAUCAGAAGUAAUAAGAUGAAGAUAGAGCACAGCUAACAGAAGUGAUGAAGUUGCCUGAAUUUGAGAAUAUAAAGAGCAACCAACACCGUAGAGCUCUUUUGCUCUUCAAAGCGAUGGUAGAGGGGAGGUCUAUGGAUAUCGAGAUUCAUGAAAUUGCAUCCAAGUUUCAUCCUUGUUACUGUCGAAGACGUAACACUCAUUUUUUCUUUCGACUGAAAUUUCAGCAUAAGUCAUCUUUGUGUAAAAACUGUUCAAACAACACAUUAGUAAAAAAAUCAUCGUCGUAAACAAAAAUCAGAUCUUUUACUUAACCAUUCCCCUUAGAAACAAAGUGACAAACAUUUGAUUCAUCAAUCAAUAAAUUACAUAUCAUAUGAAACCAUUAUAUAUAUAUAUUUCCUAGAAAUUACUUCAGAAGUAAUUUGACACAUAUACUUUUUACAAUCAAUUUUAUAAGAAAAUGUGACAUGACUACUAAAAUUAAUGACAUAACUUAUACUAAAUAUGACAUAACCAAAUUAUAUUUAAUAUUAAUUUAUAUUUUUGAUAAAUUUUUAAAAAUAUGAUAAUAACUCAUCCAUUACAUAAAAAGUUGAUCUAUAUUUUUGGUAAACUUUUUAUAAUAUCGUAAUAACUCAUAAAUUAUCAUUAAAAUAAAUAUAUGCAAAUAUGACAUUACAAAUUCAAAAUGUUAUUUAAUUCUGUUUUUAUAAUUAUACAACUUCUAUGACUAGUGGCUUAUUAUUAUUAUUUUGAAACACGUAGAAUUAAUAUAUUUUGUUUUUAGGGAGUAUAUUAAUUAACCAUUAAAUUAAACAAAAAAAGGAAAAUAAGAGAGAAUUAUGUUGAAUUGGAUCUCUACUUAUAUGCAAAAACAAAAAGGAAGGAAAAUAAAAAGAGCUGACAAAGAAGAGUAAACCAACAUCAUCGUGUAGAAGAAAUUCAAUUCAAUUCAAUUCACCUCUCAACCCUAAAGCCUCAUCGUCUCUCUCUCUCUCUCUCUCUCUCUCUCCGUCGCUCCGUCGCUGUACUUGAUCCGUAUCUGCAUCCGUCAACGCGUCAACCAGCGACGCUCCGGAUUGAAUUGCGCAAUUCCGUUAAAAAAAUUAGGGUUUAAUAGAGGAACCAAAUCGCCUAUGGCUCCGGGGCGUAAAAGAGGAGCGAGCAAGGCCAAGGCCAACGGGAAGUUGAUUCUCGGCGAUCUCGUCCUCGCCAAAGUCAAAGGCUUCCCCGCUUGGCCUGCUAAGGUUAGCAGGCCUGAAGAGUGGGAUCGUGCUCCAGAUCCUAAGAAGUACUUUGUUCAGUUCUUUGGUACACAGGAAAUAGCUUUUGUUGCACCGCCUGAUAUUCAAGCCUUUACUAGUGAUUCAAAGAGCAAACUGUUGGCAAGAUGUCAAGGUAAAACGGUCAAGUACUUUGCACAGGCUGUGACGGAGAUAUGCACAGAAUUUGAAGAGUUGCGAAAUCACAAGUCGAGUGUUUUGGGUAAUGAGGAUCCGAUGGAUGCUGCGGAUCCUGGUUUGGUAAAGGAUGAGACAGUUGAUGGAACAGAUCACACCGUCACUGAUUCUGAUGGAACUGAUAACUUAGAUUCUGAGGUGGGACCUUACUUCCCCAAAGUUGAAACAGAGAAGCAGGGUUCGUCUCCAUUUCGGGAAUCAAAGAUCACUGCCACAUCCUCGGGUAGCGAGUCACUAGAGCAGGUGGACCUUAAAAUAAAAGAAGGAGAUUUUGAUAAAGGAACUGAUGGUGAUGGUUGCACUAAGGAAUUUGGUAAUGGUGAAAAGGGUCUGCCCAACGGUAAGAGAAUAAAGAAGGAAGCAGGUGGCUCGGUCAGAGAAGGGAAAGAUACAGUUCAUAGAGACAAAAGCGAUGGUCGAGAUACUAGUGGUAAAUCCGAUUCCAAAAAGUCAAAAGAUCUGUUGACAGAGAAAUCUAGCUCCAAAGUGUCUGGUGUUAAGCAAGAAAAAUCAAUUGGCGUUAAGGAUGGGGUUUCCGGCAAGAAAAGGAGGCUUGAAAGUGAAUCAGGGAAGCCUGCAUCAAGAGUAGAUGAAAGCUCACGUGCGGCUAAAAAGCCGCGAUGUGAAGGUAAAAAUGACAAGGAAAAAUGUGUAACUGAUUCUACUGGUACUGUAUCACAUAUUAAGCGUGAACUUGUUGUAGGACUAAGUGCUCGUGGAGGUGAUUUACAAUAUGAUAAAAUAGUUGUAACUAAGCGCCGGAGACAAACAGUGGAGCAUGAUAACUCGCCUCCUCUUUCUGGGUCCCGUGUUAAAUCCGGGAAAGGUCAGCUGGAACAGAGACACCGUUCGUCUGUGACUGAUAAAUCCGGGAAAGGUCAGCUGGAACAGAAGGACCGUUCCUCUUCUGUUAGUAAUGCCAAGGUUCCAGCUUCACAGUCGCUGAAAAAAAGGAGGGCUGUUUGUGUAUAUGACGAAGAUAAUGAUGAAGAUCCCAAAACCCCAUUACAUGGAAGUCAAGCCGUUGUUCCCAAAGCAACGCCAGUAUUGACUGAUGGUCCUAAAAGUGCUAACGUGUGUCGUGACACUUCUACUAAAGCCAAAAUAUCUGCUGGAUCUACAGAGAGUACGGGACUAAGGAAAGUACCCCUUCGUAAACAUUGUGAGGAUACUUCACGUGUAUUAUCAGAUAAUGUGGAGAAACCUAUCAGUGAGUUGCCGGCAAAGGAUGUCAAGCAAAUCUUGCAAUCUCCUAUGAAGUCUCCUCAGCUGGUGUCACCUAACAAGCACGUUGCAGGACAGCAUAAAACUGCGAAACCACCUGUAAAAGUUUCGGAUGUCAAGAAGCCUCAUAGUGAGUCUGGUAAGGAAUCAGUUGUGGGAUCUGAUAAAGUAAGCCCUUCCCAAUCUCAGCUAGCAAAUCAGAGACACAGACCAGCUUCAGUUGGAGAUAAGCCAACGGUGGUUUCAAAAGCUGCGUUACGUCUGAGUGAUGCUGUUGUUUCAAAAGACACUUCUGGGGACUUGUCUGCUGUUAUGGUUGAUUACAAUCGAGAAAAUGGGAGUGCUCCAUUCACCAGAGCGAGGACCCCAGAUUCGGCUGCAUCUAUGAAGGAUCUAAUUGCAGCUGCGCAGGCCAAAAGAAAACUAGCACAUUCACAAAAUUCAGUUUUUGGGAAUUUGAAUUCUAGUUUAUUAAACAUCAGUGAAACACAGAUGAGGAGUCAUAGCCCAGUUAUGGUUCAGAAUGCUUCAGCUUCUGCGGCCAUCGUAAUGCCUGUCGCUGUUCAAGGACAUCAACAAGACUCUUUUCCAUCAAAUCAUGAGCAUCAGUCCUCAUCAAGAAAUCAAAAUGAGACUGAUGAUAAUGAAGAGAGAAAACUUAGUUCAGGGCAUGAGUCAGUUGGAGGUUCACUUAGUGGUGGCACUGAUGCUGCUGUUUCUCGGGAUGCUUUUGAGGGCAUGAUAGAGACCUUAUCAAGAACUAAAGAAAGUAUCGGACGUGCUACGCGCCUAGCAAUUGAUUGUGCCAAGUACGGGAUUGCUAGCGAGGUGGUGGAACUUCUCAUACGAAAGUUGGAAAAUGAGGCUCACUUACAUCGUAAAGUGGAUCUGUUCUUUCUUGUUGACUCUAUCACCCAGUGUUCGCACAACCAAAAAGGUAUUGCUGGUGCUUCAUACGUUCCUACAGUGCAAGCUGCUUUGCCACGUCUUUUAGGUGCUGCUGCCCCACCAGGGACCGAUGCUCGUGAUAACCGUCGUAAAUGUCUCAAGGUUUUGAGGUUGUGGCUUGAUAGGAAAAUUUUCCCUGAAUCUGUUCUGCGUCGCUAUAUUGAUGAUAUUGGAAAUUCUAGUGAUGAUGCAACUGUUGGGUUGUCCAUACGACGUCCUUCCAGAUCUGAGCGUGCUGUAAAUGAUCCUAUCAGAGAAAUGGAAGGGAUGCUUGUUGAUGAGUAUGGCAGCAAUGCAACUAUUCAGCUGCCAGGGUUUUUCUCUUCUCGUACCUUUGAAGAUGAUGAAGAAGAUGACGACGAUCUUCCAAAUCUUCCAAUACCACAAGAUGCGAAAAACACAUCAUCUGGUGAACCUUUCAAUGCUUUAGAAGACUUGGAAGCACGUGAUACUUUGAGUGAUAGACCUCAUCGAGUUUUGGAGGAUGUAGAUCGUGAACUUAAAAUGGAAGAUGUUUCUGGUCAGCCGAAAGAUGUAGCACCUUCCGCUUUCUGUGAGAAUGUGACAAAGGUUCAGUCACUGGAUGCUAGGGAACCAGUUGCAGAAAAGUCAACUGGGGCGCCUCCUUUUCCAGAGGAUUCUCCUCCCCUGCCUCAAGAAUCACCUCCAUCUCCCCCUCCUCUACCUCCUUCUCCACCACCUCCAUCCCCACCUCCUCCGCCUUCAUGUCCGCCCCCAUUGCUGCCACCACCACCUCCUACAACACAUUUCCCACCACCUCCGUCGCAGACUCCACCACCACCGCCCCAUUCACCUCCACCUUCACCGCCACCUCCACCUCCACCGCCUGCACAAUCUAUAACUUUACCACUAUCGCUAACUAUUCAACAAUCCAUUGCUAGCCAUCAACAGUUACACCUUCAACGAGGCUUUCCUCCAGCAUAUCCAUUAUCGCAUCAAACAUACCCAGGAUCUAUGCAGCAAGACCAAUGUACCAUUUUCACUGGUGAUCAAAUUGUCCAAGGGCCUGGAAGAUCUUCACGUGGAAGUCAUGUUGAGGGGCCUGGAAAAACUGAAUUUUUCAUGCAGCAGUCAUGUAAUUUUUCUCCAGCAGAAGUGUACAGCUCCAGGGAACCAUCAGCAUUUACUUCCUCCAGACAACUAGAAUUUGGGAACAGCGAUGCACAGAACCUACGGUUUCAACCGAACACCUCUCUGUCCCAAAGACCUAUGCUUAGACACCUGCCUUCAGCACCGUCCAGUCAUUUUCCUUAUUCAAGCCAUGUUCAGUCACAAUCCCAGCGGUCCUACACUCAUCCUUAUUCUUUCCCACCUCAACGCGAUGAUGGACGGCGAUUUAGAAAUGAGGAACCAUGGCGGAUGUCUUCGAGUGGGCGUAGUGCAGAAGACCAGAGUGGUGCCUGGAUACUUGGAAGAAAUUCACAUCCAGGCCUUCCUAGAGCCACAGACAGUAUAUUUUUUUCGGCCACCUUCAGUGGCAAUCAGCUAUCAGCCUUCUUCUGCCAGUAACUUACAAGCCGUCCCUACAAUUCAAGGUCAUGCUGCUUCCCAGAUGCUACCAUCUCGGCCAGACAUGCCUACGGCGAAUUGCUGGAGGCCAGCUUGAGGUUAGAGGUAGAAUUUCGUUGGUCUGCUCCUGUCAAUAUCAAUGGAAAAAGGAGCUGCUAGUUCCUCGUUAACAAGAUUAAUCCUCUAGGGUUUUGAUACAAAGUUAAACCACCUGGAGCAAUGGCAAUCAUCGUGCUGGGGAAAUAUUUGCGCAUUGUACAAAGCGGUCUUGAUUGGCUAAUGCAGAAGCUUGAUGUGUUGAGAUUCUGAGAUUUGGUUCGUGAGCUGAGAGUUGCAGGUCUUGGGGGAGGAUCUAACUAGGCUUUAGACGAUUGUCGCCUCUCUUUAUCAAUCGAGUUUCUCAAGUUGGGAGGUUAGCUUUUUCGCCACUGAUGAUCAUUACCUCAGGACUAACUUCAUUGUUGAGAUUUUUUUUGGCGGAAAGUAAAUUAAAGCUAGAUCACUGGAACUAAAAUGAUGGUAUAUUAUGGUAGGAAAGGUUGUUUUACCAGACUAAUCAAUAGCUUUGUAAUUAACAAUCUUAUAAUUUAUCAACUGAUCUUGUAAACCAAAAGAUUGGUACUUGAUCUAUUACAUAGGAAUUUUGCACAA